rnacentral:rRNA from 1 species
UCCGGAGGCGAUGGCGGCGGGGCCAUACCCGUUCCCAUCCCGAACACGGCAGUCAAGCCCGCCCACGCCGAUGGUACUGGAGCUCCGGCUCCGGGAGAGUAGGUAGCCUCCGGAA